rnacentral:lncRNA from 1 species
CAUGGAGAAACCAAACCUCCAUCACUUCUCAUCCUUACUUCUGGUUUUUCUGUUUACAUUGUCGCUUGGGACUCGGACAACGGCGGGCCGGAAAUUCUCGAUCAGGGAAGCCACCAUUGACGAUCUCCAACUCGCUUUCAAGCACAACCUACUCACCUCAAGGCAACUUGUCCAGUUCUACCUUGGAGAAAUCAAAAGACUCAACCCUUUCCUUAGGGCGGUCAUAGAAGUGAACCCGGACGCGCUUUACUUGGCUGACAAGGCGGAUUAUGAACGCAAGACUAAGGCGCCGUCCGCGUCACACUCUAAGUUACAUGGGAUUCCUAUUCUGGUCAAGGACAACAUUGCUACCAAGGACAAGUUGAACACCACAGCUGGCUCGUAUGCUCUGCUUGGCUCGGUUGUUCCUCGUGAUGCGGGUGUUGUCACCAAGCUGAGGAAUGCCGGGGCUAUUAUACUGGGAAAGGCCAGCCUGAGUGAGUGGUCCCAUUGGAGGUCCAACGGUGCACCUUCCGGUUGGAGUGCCAGAGGUGGCCAAGGGGUGGUGAGUAGAGGAUCAUUAAAUUUAGUUCCCUCCUACGUAUAUAUAAAAUACCCUUCACUAUCACUUGUAUGAUUAAUCAAUGUUUAAUCGCCGAAUAUUUAAUAUGUUAUGCUGUGAAACUGUCGAGCUAAAACUUACAUUCAAAUAAUAGUAAACCUGAUUAGUUUUGCAGACUGACAAUAUAGCUUGACAGACUGUCUCCUAAGAUAACAUUUCUAUAGUUUAGACUGAACAAGGCAGAAAAAAAAAUCAACAGACUAAGCUUGUUAGGUGGAAUGCAGAACCCUUACAAUUCUCUUGCAACACCUUGCGGCUCAAGUAGCGGUUCAGCAAUAUCAGCGGCAGCAAAUCUGGCAACAGUGACACUCGGGACUGAAACAGAUGGAUCAAUUUUAUGUCCAUCCAGUUAUAACUCAGUCGUGGGCAUCAAACCAACAAACGGUCUUACUAGUCGAGCAGGGGUAGUCCCAAUCUCCCUAAGACAGGACACAGUUGGGUAAGUGGUGAUCAAUUUACGUAAUUUCUACACAAUAUAGAGGACGCUCUUGCGUAAACUUAGUUUUGGAUAAAUUUUAGUCUUAUUUACUAUUUUUUCUCUCUUUGUUUGUUGGUGUUGGGUUGAACAGGCCAAUUUGUAGGACAGUAUCAGAUGCUGCUUAUGUUCUUGAUGUCAUUGCAGGCAUCGACCAGAACGAUGUUGCAACGACUAAGGCAUCGAGGUACAUUCCCAAGGGUGGCUACGCACAGUUCCUCAGGCGUGAUGGGCUUAGAGGAAAGCGAAUAGGGAUAGUGAGAGCCUUAUUUAACAUCUCCGGCCAAACUUCGUCGACUCCAAUUUAUGAAAAACACUUCAACACGCUGAGGUAACAAAAAAAAUCAUAGAUUAGUCUCAAUCGGAGACAUGUAUCUAUUCUUAUGAAAUACUAAUUAAGUUGUUGGAAAAUUAAAUUUAGGAAAGGUGGUGCUGUUUUGGUGGACAAUUUGAAAAUACCACAUUUUGAUGAAAUCUAUUCCGAUGGAAGUAGUGAAACUACUGCACUGUCAGCUGAGUUCAAAAUAUAUAUAAACACAUACCUUAAGGAGUUGGUGGCUUCGCCAGUCCGAUCCUUGGCGGAUUUGAUAGCCUUUAACAAUAAAAACGCUAAAUUGGUGAGUACAUAGGUGCAAACUGAUGUUCUUCCCAAACUACGGUCUUCGUUCUGAAUAAGUAGGCUGUGGAAACUAAAACGAUUUUGAUUACUUGGAAUGCAGGAGAAGGUGAAGGAGUAUGGCCAAGGCCUAUUUUUAGAAGCUGAAGCAACAAAUGGAAUAGGAAGUGCAGAGAAGGCAGCAUUGUUAAAUUUGGCAAGAUUUGCGAAGGAUGACUACGUGAAUUUAGUGACGAAGAACAAGCUAGAUGCCGUGGUGGCUCCUCUUGCACAAGUGUCGCCGUUGCUAGCGAUUAGCGGCUCCCCGGGUGUGGUUGUCCCAGCAGGAUAUGAUGAUGGGGUACCAGUUGGCCUUUCCUUUGGGGGGCUGAGGGGUUGGGAGCCAAAGCUAAUUGAAAUGGCAUAUGGCUUUGAGCAAGCAACUAAGAUUAGGAAGCCUCCUUCACUUACAAAGUUGAAGUUUUAGAGCUACACUAAGUUGUAAUGCCCGUGCGCUGUUGCAUAAUUAGAAAUCAACUUUCCAGCAGUAAAUAAAUUUGAGCUACUAAAUGUAUGUUAGUAUAACAUUGAUAAAUCUAAAUAAAAAUAUCUCAAGAGAGGAAUAAUUUUAUUUGCUGCAGAAAAAUUCUUGUUUUGUUAUUUUACAAAUGCAAUUCGCUCCAACUUCCUUGGUAUCAUUGCUCAUCUCAACAACAAUCUUUGACAUUCUAAACAACUAAAAACGAAUGCACAAUUUCUCAAUCAAAAUUAGAAGCAAACCGAUUCAACAAUGAAAACAUUUGCAAACAAGCUGUAUAAGCAUUAAAUGUGAAGGGGGAACGAACCUUCUGCAUGGUCUUCUUGAAGCAUGUUUUAUGUUUAAUUAUAGAUGCAUUGAGUCACUUAGUACUAUGGUAUAUUGGUAUUCCUCUUCACUUGUAAGUAAGAGGUUUUAGGUUUGAUUCUUGCUAAAGGCGAAUUCGAACCAAAUUAUUGCUAGCCCAUUGUGAGGCUAAGCUCAUCAUUUUCUUUUUAGUGUAGAUUAUAUCGUUUGUUCAAAAAAAAAAAAAAAAAAAACCCAUAGAUGCAUUGACAAAAUCAUCAAUGUGAUUCUUUAAAUCCUCCAAGAAAGUGGCUUGCUCGAUGCGACUCUUCGCUAUUGUGCUUUUAUUAUGACUAGUUGGACCACCUAUCCAUUAGACCCAUUAUAUAGAUAAUAUCAUUAGACCCAUUUACAUCUCAAACCCUACUAUCAUUGGAUGUAUUUAAACUAUUUUUCUUAUAUAAAGACGAUUAUGAAUGAAGAUAUGAAUUUACUUUGAUUUAUUUUCCAUUUUUUGCAUUUACUUUUUUGCAAUUUCCCUUUCAUGUCUAAUCCUAUCAUGCUCGUUCUUCUUUUAACAUGAAGUGGCGGCUAGGGUUGCAGCAGUAGGUGAUGGCUCAUGUUGAGUUUUAUGUGAUUCCAUUGUUAGUAGCACCUGAUACAGAAGUCAUUCAUUAUAGAAGAUCUAAACGAAUGACAGACCAGUGGGUUUCAAUUUUAAAUAAUGCAAACCGAUCAUUUUAAAAAUUCAAGCCACUGCAACACAUUCAGUACUAUCAAUAUAUGCAGGAUAAAAAAACUUAAGUAGACUUAAGUAGAACCAACCAACAAAUUCAGUUUGAUUUAUUUUACUCUUGGUCUAAAUGUUACUAGCAAGAAUGUCCCCGCUCUGCUGCGGUAUUUGAAACCGUUAAUUGUGCUUUCAACAAAAUAAUUCUAUAAUUUAAAUCAUCCAAACUUGGUGAACAUGGUAUUUUGUCUAUCAUUAUAUCCUUCCUCUCACAAUUUUUAUGGAAUAAAAAUCCAAACUUUAAACAAUUCUUAACAUAAUUUUGCAAAUAAUCUUGCAUUUAAGCACGUUCAAAACCAGCAGCUCUUUCAAUUUCUUUUCUAAAGGAAGAAAAGGAAAAGUGUUCAUCGCUGAUAUUGUGCAUCCAAUAUACUGGUUUCUUGUCUACCUUCUCCUGCUGAGACCAUCUUCAAAGGAAAUGUCAAAUUAUAAGAGUCAAAUUACAAUUGAUGGUUGAUGUGAUAAUCUGAAGCCUUAUGUCAAAUUUUGUACUUCUCCAACCGAACUGUUAAAUAUUAUUUUAUUAUUUAAAUAGAGCUUUAAAUGAUUGUAAUUAUUAAAAAAAUGUUGAAACAAAAUUUUUAUUGAUUGAAAUGUUAGUAGAAAAAGGGAUCCACUAUUAAAAUGAAUUAAAAAUAAAUUUGACAUCAAAUCGUUAAGCCUUAAAAUCCAAUCAGCAAAUAACAUUUCAUUUAGAAAGACUUUUAAUGUUAAAUAUGUACAUUGACAUUCCACCUAGAAUUUUAACAUCUCCCUCGAAGAUGCUCUAAUCCUGUUAUCAAAAACCCAUCUCAUUCUUUCCCUCAGAGACUUGAAACCCAAUCCCAACGUCCAUGUACCACCUCCCAAUAUCAAUUCCUAACAAAAUAAAUGCAAAAGCAAAAUCAGCAGCACUUUCAAAUAUAUUAAAGGAAAAGUGGGAACUAUUAUUAAGAAGGGUAUUGUUAGAGAGACUAAAUUCAGAAACUAAAUUUAUAAAUUAAAUGAUGUGUCACUAAUAGAAAUGAGUACGUUUAUAAAUGUUUAAGUAAUAAAUCAAUCAUCAACUUUUAUAUCCUUUAGUUUCCAAAAUUUAGUUUACAAAUUUAAUCUCCCUAACAUUACCAUAUCAAGAAAGGUGCAAACGAAAUGCAUUCAUCACUGAUAUUGAAGAGAAAACGAAGUGUAUUAGUAUAUUUAUGGGUAAAUUACAUUUUACUCCCUCAGGUUUGGAUGUAAUUGCAACCUUAUAUAACAUCUUUAAAACAUUUCAAUCUCAUACAUUAAGUUAUUAUUUUAUUUUAAUUUCAUAUAACCGAUAAAAAUUUUGUUAAAUUAGUUGUUAAGUGAUGAUGUGGUAGUGGUGGGCUCUACAAUUUUAUUGAUAUGGCUGUCAGCUUGUGCCACGUGGCAAAACAAAUAAAAAAUAUAUAAUUAAUAAAAUAUCUUUCUUUUGUUAAAUUUUUGUAUUAAAAAAAAAAGCCAAACCCUCCUCAGUCUCGCGCCAUUCAAGCCAUCAAGGUAUAAAAUAUCGAUAAUAUCGGAAAUAUCGGUAGUCUAAAAACACGAAAAUAUCGAUGGAAAUAUCGAGAUAUUAUCGAUAAAAAUAAUAUGGAAACCAUGGAAAUUGUAAGAAAAACUUGGAAAUUUUUAUUGAAACUUUGUAAGAUGUUUAUUUAGUCAAUUAUCUAUUAGUUUAUCACAAAAAAAUUGGAAGGAAAUGCAUUGCAUGAUAGAUUUAACUGAUUUAAGUUGAUUAUUUAGCGAGCUGGCAAACAUUGUGAGUGUAGAAAAUAUGUAGUAAUUAAUGAAAGAAGUUUAAACACACCAUAAUCAUUUAUAUAUAAUGAAUUAGUACAAUAUUUUACACUUUAUACAUUGUAUGGUAAGAUACAUGAGUGACUUAGUACCACAUAGAGCUCCUAUGAGGUUCAAAAUUUUCACUAUCUUCGUCAUCUCUAUGUGUAGAGUAAGUGUAUUUUAGCAUAUUUUUACAAAAAACAUAAGUGAUAUGGUGGUCAAGGUGUUGAAGGAGUAAAAUGGGAGAGGUUCGAACCCCUUUGGUGUUUUUUUAAAUAUAGAAAUCCUUGGUGUUUUUUUAAAUAUAGAAAUUUAUCCUAAAUAAUAAAUAUUAGCUUGCAAGCCUUGCAGACAUCUUAACGACCAUAUAAAUAUUACAAGCUGAAUAUGUAAUCAUAAACACAUCUAUAAUGAGUUGGAUAAAACUCAGGUGCGUGGUUGACAAAGGGUGGGGUUCGAAUCCACUUGGUGUAUUUUUUUUAUUUUUAUUUUUUUUAUUGGGGAAGAACCUUUCCAAAGAAAGGAGACAAUUUUUUUUGGGGAAGAACUUUUUUGUUUUAUGUCCCCUACCCGAGACCCCCUUUCUUUCUUUCUCUGCACACUCUCUUCUCUCUCGAAACCCUCUCAUCACUCUCACUCUCUCUCCCGUGAUUACCCUAGUACACGGCACCCACACCAUCGUUCCGUAGACGCCAUCACCAUCAAAACCUCGUCUUUCUCUCUCUUCCUCUUGUCUCUGCAAGAUCGACGAAACCCAGAAACCUCCGGUGAGUUUUCUUCACUUUCUCCGGUUAGGUAAACUUUGGGUUUAACUCUAUUCGUUCUAGUUGAAGCUUGGGUGUGUGUUAUUAAGUGUUAUACUCGUAAUUUUCCAAGAUUUUGGAACGAGAUCAGGUCGGGGGAAAGCUCACCCAACUUCGGCGAACCCGUGACUGUUGAGGAGCUUUCCGAACACCUUCGGCCAUUUCACGGCAAACCAAGGGUAUAAACUUACUCCUCUCUCUUUCCUCUUCACGUUGGUAAUUAGAUCGGAGUCUAAGGUUUGCGUUUGUAAUCGGUCGGAGCUGUAGAAGCUCCGGCGUUCUUCUUCGAUUUGCACAUAUCCAAAAUAUCGCGAUAUUAUUAAUAUUAUCGAUAAUAUCGCGAUAUUUUGACGAAAACUCAUUAGAUAACCAUUAAAAUAUCGGUAACUCAAAAAACCGAUAUUAUCGGCCAUAUUUCGCCGAUAAUAUCGGCAUUUAAGACCUUGCAAGCCACUGUAACAAAUUCAGUACAAUCAUCAUAUGCAGAGUAAAAAAACCUAAGUAGAACCAACCAACAAAUUCAAUUUGAUUUAUUUUACCAUUGGUCUAGAUGUUAUAAUUGAAAACUUGCUUAUGUAUCGAGGAAAAGUAUGUUGAAAAUGCAUAAAUUUUCUUCCCAAUAUACAUGAGUUUGUAAAAGGAAAUACUAUUAUGAAAUUUGAAUUUACUUGGUCAAGUAAUGAGUGGCCUUUUGUUAGUACCCCGGUCAAUUCUUGACAAAUAUAUUAUUUUACUUUCUUUGAUAAUAGCUAAAAAUAUUGUCAGUAAAUUAUUAUUUCAAUUCCCGAAAUGAUAUGAGGAUUUAAAAUAUUGAAAUAGAAAAAUGCUUGUUAAAAUGUACAAAGAACGGCGCUUAAUUGUCAAGAAAAGAAAAUUAUGACAAAUUUAUUUUUUUAUUUUUUAACUUGUUAAAAAAAGAAGUAAAUAGACAUGGGGUUACGGUUAAAUGCAUACACGACUACAAACAACCGUUUAUAAAAAGUUAUGAAUAUUAGUAUACCCGAUUAUUCAAUUAUCCAAUAAAUAAAGCAGUUCGCUGCUUGUCAUAACCGCACAACAAAUAUAUACUAACCUAAGAUAUCUUAAUUUAUGUUAGCAACAAAAGCAAUAGAUUAAACAAUAAUAAAUGCAGCAGUACAAAAAUAAAGUUGAAAAUAUAAUGAAUUAUACGACUCCAUUCCCAAAAGCAUCGAAAGCAUAUAGCACCAGACAGAGGAGAGAAAGUGAGGUAGUGUGUCAAUGGCAGCUGGGGAUGACUUUCCCUUGACGGGUGGAGGUGAGUUCGAUUUUGUUUGUUUGAUUCAAUUUAGAUUUAACUUGGUUUUUAGUUUGAUUAAUUUUGUCUUAAUUUGGUUUGCAUUAGACUUAAAUUACAGAUUAUUUGGUUUCAAUCUGCAUCUUUUUCCUGGGUUUUGGAUGAAUACCUUCACAAAUUAGCCUGCUUGGUAUUCUUCUUAUCCAAUUUUUUCUGUUUUUGAAACUAAUGAGUAUUAAGUAAUGUAGUUAUAUUCGUUCUUUUUAAAAACUAUAAAUUAUUUUAGAUUUUAAGCCUUCUUCUUUCUUUCUUCUGGGUGUGUUUGCUGAUAUCAGGAAAUUUCAAAAAUAUCGUUUAACGUCGUCGAUAUCUCACCAGGGAGACAACACUUUUUAAACAAAAUGAUGUGGUUGUUGAUGAUGGAUUAUUACUUAACGUGCUUAUUUUCUGGUGACACGUUAUUUGGUUUGCAAAUUUGAUUUAAAAUUUUGGUCUUCACAGCAUUACCCUCUCAACAAUAUCAAGUAAAAGUUUAUCUAGUUUGGAAGAAUUCUUUAGUGUGACUGUUAGAUCAUCACGUGACAUUCUAUUUAUGUGUUCUAGGUUCAUGAAUAUCAUCUGUCUUCAACCUAUAUUAUUCAAGACAUGUAAACUAGUAGCAUCAUGUACAAAACCUCCCUCACACUUCAUCCUUAUUUCUGGUUCUUCUCUUUAUAGUGUCGCUCGGGACACAAGCAACUACAGUCCAUGGAUUCUCAAUCAAGGAAGCCACCAUAGACGAUCUCCAACUCGCUUUUGAGCACAACCAACUCACCUCAAGGCAACUUGUCCAAUUUUACCUUUCUGAAAUCAGUAGCCUCAACCCUUUCCUUAAGGCGGUCAUAGAAGUGAACCCGGAUGCGCUUGACCUUGCUGACAAGGCUGACUAUGAGCGCAAGACUAAGGCGCCGUCCGCAACACUCUCCAAGUUACAUGGCAUUCCCAUUCUUGUCAAGGACAACAUUGCA